rfam:Acidobacteria bacterium 13_1_20CM_3_53_8 13_1_20cm_3_scaffold_48, whole genome shotgun sequence.
GGGCCUGUAGCUCAACGGAUAGAGCGACGCCCUCCUAAGGCGUAGGUUGCAGGUUCAAGUCCUGCCAGGCUCA